CACACACACACACACAUAUAUUUGUGUGUGUAUCUGUUUCUUUACCUUUGUGCUUCUCCAAAAUAAGUCACCCAAGUUACAGGUAGUGGGGUUACAGUAAUUUUUUCCCAGUCAACGAGUUGUUUAUUGACUCGGCAUCUUCAAUAAUAUGUGGAGUAAGGUAUCCCUUACUUGCAGUGUAUUGCAAGGUUUGUGAGAGAAGAGGCAUCCAAAUGUUACACAAAAUAUAUUCCUCUGAUUUCUACUCAUUUAGAAAAAUGGACGUAAAAAUGAACCCACAAUACAUACAUUUGUACAUAUAUACACACACAUAUAUAUAUAUGUGUGUGUAUUUGUGUAUGUAUGCAUGCUCAGUUGAGGGGGUCUUGUCUUGCAAAUUACUUGGUGAUUUCACUGCUGUUGGUGACACAUGAAAAGCAUCCAGUACACUCUGCAAAGUGGGAGGCUUUUAGAAGGGCAUCCAGCUGUAGGAAUCAUGCCGAAGCAGAUGGCUGGGAUUGGUGCAGGCUUCUUACCUGCCACUUUCUCUGGAACCCUCCAACCCAUGCCGGCACAGAAAACAGAUGUUAAAUGAUGAGGAUAAUAAGUAGUGUAAAAACAACAACACAAAGGAUGAAGUAAAAACAAAGUGAAACAUAGUGUAUAUUAGGUUGACACUCAGGAAAUGGGGGAAAAAGUAUAUAUAUAUAUGUAUAUACAUAUAUAUAUAUAUAUACAUAUAUAUAUAUAUAUAUAUAUAUACACACACACACACACUCAAUCCUUUCUACAAUUGGCACAAGGCCUGAAAGUUUGGUGGUGGUGAUGGUUAGUUGAUUGUAUUGGUCCCUGUGCCUCACUGGUUCUUAUUUUAUCAAGCCCGAAAGGAUGAAGGGCAAAGUCAACCUUGGUGGAAUUUGAACUCCGAAUGUAAAAAUGGGUUAAAUACCACUAAGCAUUUUGUUCAGCAUUGCUAACAGUUUCACCAGCUCACUGCCUUAAUUUAUAAAUGAGUUUGCGUGGGCAUAUGUAUAUGCAUUAACUCUUUUGUGUGGGUGUAUAUAUAUAUGUAUAUAUGCAUUAACUCUUUUUUCUAUACACACACGCAUGCACACACACACACACACAUAUAUAUAUAUUACUCUUUUCAGUCAUUUGACUGUGGCCAUGCUGGAGCACCACCUUUAGUCGAGCAAAUCGACCCCAGGACAUAUUCUUUGUAAGCCUAGUACUUAUUCUCUCUGUCUCUUUUGCUGAACCGCUAAGUUACGGGGACGUAAAUGCACCAGCAUCAGUUGUCAAGUGAUGUUGGGGGAACAAACACAGACACACAAACAUAUACACACACACACACAUACACAUAUAUAUAUUCAUAUAUAUGAUGGGCUUCUUUCAGUUUGUGUCUACCAAAUCCACUCACAAGGCUUUGGUAGGCGCGAGGCUAUAGUUGAAGAUACUUGUCCAAGGUGCCACGCAGUGGGACUGAACCUGGAACCAUGUGGUUGGUAAGCAAGCUACUUACCACACAGCCACUCCUAUGCCUAGGAGUGUGUGUGGAAGAAAGAGUUAAUGCAAUCUGUUUUAGCUGAGAUCUGAAAACAUGACAACUGUUAACUUUAUAGUUUUCUUUUUUAUCUGUUUUGUGCCAUUUCACUAUUAUUAUUAUUAUUAUUUUUGUUUGGUCUUCCAAUCCUGUAACAGCUUUCACACACAUUGUGGGCACCCAUUCACUUCUCUUUCUGUCCAGCUCUUCCACUGUGAACCCUUUUUAUAUUCAACAGUUUCGUAAGAAACUAAUCUUUAUAUUCUAAAAUGCCACUUGCAAUUGCUCUGCUACACCUGCUCAUUUUUGUUUUUCUUUUUCCUCCUUUUUUUAUUUUUUGCAUAUGUGUGUGUAGUUUUUAGUUUGUUUUAUUGUUGCUCUUUUCAUUUUCUUCAUCUCGAAGACAAUCUUACCCCAGAACCAUGACAAAUUUUAUUGGCUUAGGCCAGUGGGUGACAGAAUGUGUAGAGACCAUUGAACGAAAUGCCUUGCAGCCUUGCCGUAUUUAAUUACAUCUGUUUAAGUUUCAAGUGGAAAUCCAGCUGAGGCUGAUUUAAUCAAUGUUACACAUACCCCUUUCCCCACCAUACUUCAAAAAUCUGUUGUAUUUGUGCUCAUGUUAGUUAUAUUAUUAUUAUUAUUAAAAUAAACUGCCAGCCAAAUACCGGGAUUGAAGGUACCAGCUAACACUUCUCUCCUCAAUAUGGUUGGUUUUGUACCUAAAUCAGCUCAACUUUGCCUUUCAUCCUUUCAGGGUUGAUAAAAUAAGUACCAGUCAAGUACUGGGGUUGAAGUAAUCAACUAUCCACCUCCCCACAAAAUAUCAAGCCUGGUGCCUGUAGCUGAAAGGAUUAUUUUUGUUGUUAUUAUUGUUAGGGUCCAUAAGGCAGUGAGCUGGCAGAAUCAUUAGCACGGUGGAUGAAACACUUAGUGGUAUUUCGCCCAUCGCUAUAUUCUGAGUUCAAAUUCCACUGAGGUCGACUUUGCUUUUCAUCCUUUUGGGGUUGAUAAAUUAAGUACCAGUUUCGCACUGGGGUCGAUAUAAUCGACUUGUCCCCCACCCUACAAAUUUGAGACCUUGUGCCUCCAGUAAAAAAGAUUAUUUUUAGGGUUCAUAACGAUUCUCCAAGCUUGUUGGGUGAAUCCUUAUGCUUAAUGGCUUUUCUUCAAAUUCCACCAAGGUUGACUUUGCCUUUCAUCCUUUCAGAUUAGUCAAUUACAUUGACAGGAGUCAAUGUAAUUAACUAACACUGCCCCCCACUUAAAAUUACUUGUGCUGGAAUUGGGAAGAAUUAUUGCUAUUUCAGGUGGUGAGCUGGCAAAAUCGUUAGUGUGCUGGUCAAAAUGUUUUGUUGCAUUUCAUAUGUCUUUACAUUCUGAGUUCAGAUUCCACCAAGGUCAGUUUUGCUUAUCAUUCUUUUGGGAUGAAAUAAGUACUAGAAAUAAGAGCUGUGGGGUCAAUGUAAUCAAGUAUAGCCCCCCGUCUCACAAAAUGCUUUAGAACUUGUGCCUGUAGUAGAAAGGAUUAUUGUUAUUAUUAUUAUCAUUAUUGAGUGAGAGAGCAGUGCAUGCCAUCAAAGUGACACUGGGGCAAAAUAUACGAAGCCCAGUAUACCCAUCAUGACAACCCGUCUGAUAAGGGUACACCAGGCACAUGCAUCACAACCAUAUGUGUGCGACAUGGUAAUCUCAUAUCAAGAUAAAGAGUACAUGACCUUGCAGGUGGGGCCCAGUUAGAAUUUUCUUCUGGUCGAGUAACCCAUCCCGCUCAAAAGGUCCCUGAAUAAGGGUUGUUCAAGGAUGUUGAACGAACCACUCAUGUUUCCAAAGGUGAAUUAUCUAAACCUCUAAGAAUUCCUUUCAACACAUGGCUAUGAUGCUCCCCCACUUAUCAUUUUUAUUAUUAUUAUUAUUAUUAUUAUUAUUAUUAUUAUUAUUAUUAUUAUUAUUAUUAUUGGCAGGGUUAGAGUGUAAUUCUAUGUUUAAAGAAAUUGGUAGAUAUGAUUCCAUUCACGUUUGAAAUAGUUUCACUUCUGCUCUGCUCUGGUGCCAUUUGCAAAAAGUAUUGAGUCUUCACGUCCCUUGCUUCUUUCUCUUUCUGUCUGUCUCUGUCCCUCCCCAACAGCCUGUAUGCUUCAUCUCAUUUUUUUAACCCCUUCUUUUAACCCUUAGUCAUUAGUUCUGUCUCAGUUGAAACAUUACAUGUUGUCAAUUCAUAGAGCUGAUUCCAAUACGUUUUUUCAUGCAUGUCUCAUAUUCUUGUAGUGCUUGUGUGUGUGUCUGUGUAUUUCAUUUUUGUGUUUGAUAAACUGCCCACCACCACCUCCACGUUUACAGACGUGAAUGUAUUUGUGAAUAUAUUGUUUGGCAUGCAUGUGUGCUUCUUUGCAUCCAUAUAUGUAUGGCUGGCUAAAGCAAUGGAUGCAUGGUUGUAUUUACAUUGUACAUUUGUUGUAUUCUUAAACUAUCUCCUGUAUAAAAAGGAACCAGCAAUAACUGGGUGAACUGUAGCAAAAGU
rnacentral:lncRNA from 1 species